GGUUCGCAUUGGGUGUGCCAAGGUGACGUGCAACAAUAAUAAAGGAACUUUCAUAGGGUGCAACUAUGACCCCCCAGGCAACUUUGUUGGGGAGAAACCUUACUGAAUAUUAUAUAUAAAAAUAAAGCUUUGUAUGAUUAAGUAGCUUGCAACAAAUGCAUGGAUGAAUAAGGUUUCAAUUUGAUGGUUAUUAACUGACGAAUUUGAAUAACCAAAAAUAAAUGAAAAUGAUUAAAUUUUAUGUUAAUUUUUGGAUGCUUCCCAGAAUAUCACAUUUGAUAUAAUUUCCUUAUUUCAGCAAUUUCUUAAUUUUUGUUGCAUCUUUAAUUAGAUCAAAUGUUGUCUUGAAAUAACUUUUGCCCAAAGCGACAUUGUUUUCAAAUGAUUACUAUAAUCUGGAAAUUGCAAUUGAUAUUAAGGCCCUAUUUAGCAUUGAGGUGCUGUAAUUUUAAACUACAGUUGCUAUAGAAAAAAAAAACUGUAACUAUAAAAUAAAAGAUAAUAGUGUGUACUAAAUACAAAAUUUUAAUGAUAAUUUUGACAAAAUUAUCAAUGAUAUAAUAUAUUUUUCAUCACACAAGUGUAAAAUCAAACUAAUUUAGCUUCUAAGAUACAACAACUAGUAUUUUACCAAACAUUUUAAUACUGUAGCUUUUAAGCUAUAGUUGUUCAACCUUAAUCCCAGACAGGGACUAAGUCUUGAAUUAUUAAAUAAUAAUGGUAUAUACCACAGCUGGGGCUUUAGUGAUAUUUAGCAGAGUGAGACUUCUUUGAAAUUUUAUCACUAGAGCUACACUUUGGCACUUAUUAAGUAUAGUCGGUAUGCUAUUGUAAAUAAGUUUUGGAUAACUCUUAUUUCAUGAGCUAACUUUUGAGUAUGAGUUAGCCUGAUGAACUUCAAAUGCUAUUAGAGCCAACUCAUAAUACACAAUUAGGGUCUAUACUACCUUUCCAUGAGACUAUAGAAAAGAAGAAAAAAAUAUUGGCUUGCAUGUGACAAGAAAUAUUUUGUAAGCUAAGUAUAUUCAUUUGGAGUAAGUAACCCUCCACUUAUGAGAUAAUUUUUAGUUAUGAGUUUGAACCAUGAAUUUCUACACUAUAUAUUAGACUGAUAUGGUGAUUUUGGUCGAGUUAGCUUGCUAGGACGUUUUAAAUGAUAUAUUUGAACAAAGGGUAACUGGUUUAUUCUAUGAAAAUUAAAAAUUAUUAGUGAAUUUCGUGUUUCAAAAGCUACUAAUUUUUGAAACACCAUGUGGAGAAAGAUAUAUAUCGUCACCUUUGCCUAACUUGUAUAUAUAAAAGACUAUGUUGAUGCGAGAUUCCGGUUCUCCUCGUUCCACGACCAGGAUCUCUGCUCGAUCAACUUCACCACGACUAGGAGGUCUCCUAGUAAUGCUUCUUCUCCGGAUGUCCCUGCACAAACAGACAAGUCAGAGUACGCCGGUUGUUCCCCCGGCGCAAACCCUCCGACGCUCAAGUCAGAUAUGAAGGUUCAGGGAACUCUUGCCACAGGUCUUAUGGCUUUUUCGUGGUUUUUUUCUUCUAUCUCAAAAAUGCCAACCUUUUUACCUUCGUUGGCUACCUUUUUAUAGGCUUCCUCUGAAUCUCAGUCUUCCGCCCUUUUGUCAGACGGUAUGGGACUCCAACUGCUGCGUUAUGGGCAAACGUGGGAUCUAGCGUGUUACGCCACGGUUCAGGGGAAAGCGUGGCUGUCAUGGCUCUGUGAGACUUUGCGUGUUACGCCACGGUUCUGGGGAAAGCGUGGUUGUCAUGGUUCUGUGAGAUCUUGCGUGUUACGCCACGGUUCUGGGGAGAGCGUGGCUGUUGUGCCUAGAUUCUCGUGCUGGAGAGCACGUCUUGCCAACUGCCGUCGACCGGGUCUCCUCGCCGCUUGACCUCUAGCCGGAAUGGCCUUAUGCCUUUUAUAGGGAAUUGGCCUCGCGGAUGACAACAUCGUGGACGAGCAGGAUAUUUCUGCUCCUGUUCUUCCGCGCACCAGGCUUUUACGGAACACACCGGUUCGCAGAACUCCGCCAUCAGAUAUUAGUAUCUCUCCCAAACAGACUAUAUUCCAUUGGUUGCCUAAUUUUAUUGAUAUUAAUAACUUAUAUUUCCUUCCAAGCAAGUCUAAGUCAUGAAUUGAAAAAAAAAAAAAAAGUUUUGCGGGUCAACUAUUCUCAUAUCAAUCGUCAAUAUUUAUACAUCAAAUCCUAGAUUUUUGUUCAGUCUGCCCCAUAGUUAACGGUUAGCAACAGUGGCCCAAUACAAUCAGCAAACCUUACUAGAUGCAUGCAUCAUACAAUAUUUUUAUAUUUACUGAAAUAACAAUAUUAAUAUUGUACUUACAUAAUUGUGAUAUUUAGUUUAUAUCAUAAAUGCUAUGUCACAAAUAGUAAUUAUCAUGUGUUAUGUAUUGGUUUUGAAUUUAUUAUUUAUCAUUAAUAUUUUAGUUUCGCAAUCACUUCUCACUUAUUGAUAGAGAGAUAUUCCUAUAUUAGUUUUUUUUUUUGUCUGAACCACGAGGUGGUCCUGAGUGGGCCCCAACUGUGAGAGGCACCUUUAAGCUCGUACCACAACCCAGACUAAUCCCCGCUCACACCGGAUCGGCCAUAAGGGGUAAAGUGCUGGCCAAAGUGGUGACUCCAUACGAGCGCGGGGCUUGAACCCCUGACCUCUCUUAAGGAGUGAGAGUGCCGAACCACUCACACCAACCAACUUUGGUUAUAUUCCUACAUUAGUUAAUAAAUAGUUAUGAGGCUAAAUAUAUAAGUUUAGGACAAUUCUCAAUUUUUAAACUAAUUUUUUUAUAUGACUUAGCUUCAAGAACUUUUACGUAACAAUAUGAAAAGCAAACUCACUAUUAGAACUAGUCAAAAUUACCAAUCUACAAAUGACAAAGGGUGUUAAAGGGAUAGUCACAAAUCCAGCAAAGCAACACUUAACCUUGCUCGAUGUCAAACAAUUUGAGAUACAAGGUAUGUUAAGUUUAUUUUACCGAAAUUACUCGGAAAAUAAUCGUUCAUCUUUCCUUGGUCCACGUUACGAGUUUCGUUUUCAAUCUUUCAGCACAAUAAAAUAUAUUCGGAUCUUGGAAACUAAAUACGCAGAAGACGACGAAGACUAAGACUUUCGAGAGUUGCCCAGAUGGACUGUUAAUCAAAAUUCGCGUACAGAUCAUGAAACACGAUCUGGACCAAAGAUUUUAAUACAUAAACUGCUGUUUUUGCGUGUAAUGUAGGCCAUAUGUCGUGAAAAAUCAUACCGUGUGUAACAUGGCAUGUCAUGAAAAGUACGAUGAUUUAUUAAUUCCUUGGAAUUGAACGAACUGAAUAUUAGCUAGGUUUAUGUUCAAGACUUCAUCUACACAAUUUUGUAAUGACCUUUGUAGGAAAGAAUAUAAUGCCAUCAUAUGACGGUGUGAAUUUGGGCUUUAAUUUAAGCGCUGUGAUUGUUCAAGGAGCAGUAAUAUUAAGACAGACAAAUUUAGUAGAACAUUGAUAGAAAUAGUGAUAAAUAUUUCUCAAUUUACUAACUUAAUUAUAAAAUAAAAUAAAUAAGUGCCGGUUUAUUAUUGUUUUUAUACGCGCUCUGUCAAUGUUCUACUUCAACAUUUUUCUUGUCAAUGCCUACAAAAAAGUAGGGGGAAAAAAGAAUGCUUUGAUGUUACAAUUCCAAUGUAACUCUUAAUAUCAGAAGCUGGAUCAUUUUUAAAAGUCAUUUUACUGACUUGACUCGACUUCAUGGUUUUCCAAUUUAUAAAUUGAUGAUAACUACAAUUAUUAUCAUCAUUAUUAUUAUUAUUAUUAUUAUUAUUAUUAUUGUUGUUGUUGUUGUUGUUUUUACAGAUUACAAUCAAAGUCAUUGAUAUAUAAAAUAAAAUAUCUAUUAGAUCAGUGAUCACUUUUAUUAUAUCAUAGCCAAAAAUUUCAACUUAUAUUAAGGUCCUUUAAAACUGCAACACUAAAAUAUUUAAUAAAUAUUAACUGCUGUAACUUAAAAGUUGUCUUAAUAAUUUUGUCAUAGAACGAACCUUUUGGCGGCACGUUAUGGUAGGUAAACCAUGUUUGCAGUUGUAUUGUAUGUAUUAGUUUAUGAACAUAUUGUGUAAAAUUAGGUGUCAUCGUUCAAUGACUUUUAUUAAUUAACCUUUAAAGUUUGACAUGAUACUGCUCUGUUUAACUCUUCUCCUAUGGGGGUAUCAGCCGCAUGGGAUAUCAUGGAUAUGUACAACCUAAGAAUUAUUCAACAUGACAUACAUAUUUUGUUUUAAUCUUUGUUGUUACAUGAUUUGAUUCACAGUGUAUGGGAGAGCGAAAACUUUUUGAUGUUUGUGUUGCCUUUAAUAUAGACCGGUACUCCUGUUCAAAGCAGGUGGUUAGCUAAUGCUAAUGGUGGUGAGUUAGAAGCUCUUGGAUAUAGGAGGGACAGAGUUGAUGUUGAUGUUCCUGACAGCACAUGGGCAAAGGCUGCAAGCUACUGUUUACACUUUCAAAUUCCUAUAGAUUGCUAUUCACUUUAUCUGUUUUUUCAAGCUCUCUGGCAGCAUUUGGAAUGUUUCUGUGGCAAAUAGUGAAAUGUAAUCUAUACUUCCUCGACCACAUUAAACGGUUUCCCAUUAAUGCCCAUUUCAUGUGUGUUAUUGUUGUUUUUGCUCUUAUUAUGACCGUGCAACAUAUUUUGCUUAUCCAUUGUACUUGGAAUUUUGGUUUUUUUACAUAGGUGGUGGGCUCCUGCAAAAUUUGACCCUGUGAAGUCACCUAUGCUAUUCUUUGAGAAGGAUAAGCCUGUCAUCCCUCCUGUACAGCCCAAUGUUGGUUUGGAUAUGGUCUUAAAACACAUCGUAGUACAUUGGAUAUGGUCUUAAAACACAUGGUAGUACACUGGAUGUGUUUAUUUACAUAGUAGUUGCUCCUCAGAAAAUCACAAGCUUACGUUGUGAAUGCAUGCAAUCUUGUGAUACCGGAUAUUCUCAGGGUUAGAUAGGCCAAGUAACUUAUUGCUUUAGUUACAGACUAAUGUUACCUCACGUUGCUGAAGUCUACAAGAAGCCAUGAGUGUCCUUUUUCACUCUGCACACAUCAUCACCGUGUUCAUAAAUUGGAGUUAUGAGUAUAACCUUGGUUAGAUGUGUAUAUUUUCUCAUAUAAUACGUAUAAUAUGGUGACAGAUACAAUAUGUUGAGAAAACUGCACGUCCAGGUUCGAUCAAACUCUUUCGUACACAGUCGCCAAGGCAUUUUGAAGGAGUUGAUUGGGACCAAGGAGGUUCAUGUCAACGGCUACAGCCUUUAUUGCCUGAGCAAGUGAGUCACGUUUAACAGCUUUAAGUUAGAUUGCGUAUGAUAAUUAAAAGAAAACUUGAGCUGUUUGUUUUAAAGGAAAAGUUGCAGAGAAAAUUUUAUUUUAUUGAAUCUGGACAAUUAUCAAAGUCAAAUACAACUUAAUCAAUCACAGCUUAUAUACACACGAGUUAGUUAUACACACAAGAAUUAUUAAUAACAGACUUUAACAUCUUGUGCUGACUUGUUAUUUCAUAACUAACUCUGAUGAUUUGGCACUGUUGAGCUGGCAUGAUUGACUAACUUCACUUGCUGAAACUAUCGGCUUCUUCACCUUUCUAUUCUUCAUAAGCUCAGCACAAUGAGCUUCCUUUACAGCCCCCCUCAAACUCAAGGGACACAUCUGCAAAUUGAGUUUGUCUCUAAGAUAGUUAAAGUGAAUAAAUGAGAGAGGCUUGGUCAUAAUAUCAGCUAUCUGUUCUGCACGAGGAAUGUACUGAAUUUGCAGCUCUCCAGCAAUCACUUUGUCUCUGAUGAAGUGUAAGUCAAUUUCAAUAUGUUUAGUUCUUGAAUGGAUAACAGGAGCUAAUUCAGUGGCACUGAUGUUGUCACACCAGACACUAGGAGUUUAUGUACAGCUUAAACCAAUUUCAGAAAACAGAGAUUGUAACCAGCUUAUCUCUGCACUAGCUGAAGCUAAGGCUCUAUAUUCACUUUCAGCACUUGACCUGGCAAUGACUGAUUGCUUUUUAGAUGACCAUGAUAUUAGAUUGUUUCCCAAGUAAAUGCAGUAAGCACCCACAGACUUUCUGUCACCAAGAUCACCAGCCCAAUCUGCAUCAGUGAAUCCUGUGAUCUUCAUCUCUCCAUGCUAAACAAAUUUAAAACCAUAGUAUUGAGUAGAUUUCAAGUAUCUGAGCACUCUCUUACAAGCUACCAAAUGCUGCAAUGUAGGAUUGGAGACAUACUGGCUUAACUUGUUGACAGCAAAUGCAAUUUCUGGUCUUGUUAGGAUCAGAUACUGCAUUCCCCCCACAAUGCUUCUAUAAUGUGUAGGAUCAGUGAUAUACUGACCAAGAUGACCUGAAGUUUCCUUUUGUAGCUUUAUUCCAGUGCUCAUAGGUGUAUCAAUUCCUUUGCAUUCAAGUAGCUGAAUUUUGGACAAUAAGUCUCUUAUGUAUUUCCUUUGUGACAGAUAGAUGCAACCUGCAUCAUACAAAACUUCAAUGCCCAGAAAAUAAGAUAAACUACCCAAAUCUUUCAAGGUAAAGACUCUGCUCAGUUCAGUUAUAAAGGUUUCCAAUGCUGCACUAUCUGAUCCUGUAAUUAAGAUAUCAUCCACAUAAAUCAACACCAUUAUCAUGAAGUUGCUUAUUUUCUUUAUGAAUAAGGAAGAGUCUGCUCUUGAGUUUAUAAAAUUCCACUGUAACAAGCAGCUUUUUAACUUAUCAUACCAGGCCCUUGGAGUUUGUUUAAGGCCAUAGAGAGACUUGUGAAGUUUGCACACAAAAUCUGAUUUCUGAUUAUUGACAAAGCCUGCUGGUUGAUCCAUAAACACCUCUUCUGUCAGCUCUCCAUUAAGAAAAGCAUUAUUUACAUCGACUUGCCUUAUCUCUGCUUGUUUCAUGACAGCUAGACUAAUCACCACUCUGACAGUAGCUGACUUUACUACAGGGCUAAAUGUCUCAAAGUAAUUAACCCCUUCAAUCUGCUGAAACCCCUUAGCUACUAGUCUAGCUAUAUACUUGGCCAAACUUCCAUCUGAAUUUUGUUUGACUCUAAAUACCCACUUGUUGCCAACAAUUUUCUGACCAGCUGAUCUAGGAACCAGAGACCAUGUUUUGUUAUCCAUUAGAGCAUUGUACUCAUCCUUCAUGGCUGCAAACCAUUUAGGAUUCUCCAUAGCUUCUUUGACAGAUUCUGGUUCUUUAUGAACAAGUGUGACAUUGUAGAGUUUUGGUUUAAAAAUCCCAGAUUUGCUUCUAGUGAUCAUGGAAUGUGAGUUUACUGGUGUAGUAAUGUGUUGUGUAUGUUCUGGGGAUGAGAUAGAUGGAAUAAUGUUUAGUGAUAUUUGAUCAUAAGGAGAAGUAUAAGGCUCUGGCUCUGUAUGUGGUUGAACUGUUUGUGAUGAAGAGUGAGGAUCAAUGUUGUAUGCAGAAUUACCUGAGUGAUGAGAAGUGCUACUGGUAGGUCUUACAGAAUCAUGAUUAUAGUAGUUGCUGUCAUCUGAUAUUGGAGAUAUUAACAAAGUGGAUAGAUGAUACACUUAUUGAGGAGUAAAUGGUAGGUUUGAACAUGAAUUUGAUGAGUUUGAAGUGAAAGCAGAAUCUGAUGAGUAAGGAAACAAAUUCUCAUCAAAAACAACAUGUCUAGCUAUAUAGGUUUGACCAGAUGGAUGUAAACACUUGUACCCUUUAUGAGAAGGGCUGUAACCUAUGAAAAUCAUUUACUAGAAUGAUAUGCAAACUUAUGCUUGUUGUAAUCUCUCAAAUAAGGAUAGCAUGCACAACCAAAGCAUUUGAGUAUAUUGUAAUCUGGUUUAUGACUGAAAAGCUUUUCAUAUGGUGUAAGAAAUUUCAGAGUUGCAGAACGCAAUCUGUUAAUAUGAUAAACAACAGUUUGGAAAGCUUCCCACCAAAAUUGUAAUGGUAACUUAGCUUGAGCUAAAAGUGUGAGACCUGACUCAACUACAUGCCUAUGUUUUCUCUCAACUACCCUAUUUUGAUGGUGUGUAUAGGGACAUGAGUGCCUGAAAAUAAUGCCAUUUUGAUUCAAGAAUUCAGUAAAUGCUCGGUACUCUCCUCCCCAGUCAGAUUGCAACUUCUUAAUUGGACAUUGAAUCUAUUUUUCAACUUGCAAUCUGAAUAAUUUGAAAUUUUGUAAGGCUUCUGAUUUCAACUUUAAUGGGUAAAUCCAAGUAUAUCGGCUAAAAUCAUCAACAAAACUGAUAUAAUAGAUAUGACCUGCUCUAGAAGGUGUAGGUGAGGGUCCCCACAAAUCAGUAUGAAUGAGUUCAAGUACGUGAGAAGUCUUGGUUUCAGUAAUAGGAAAAUGCAAUCUAUGAACCUUGCCCAUUUGACAUGCCUCACAUAUUUGCGGUGCAGAUUGUUUGAUAAGAUUGGUAGAGAGAUUGAUAGUUUUAUCAUUCUUAAGCAAAUGUAUUAGUACAUCAUGAUGAGGAUGACCAAAUCUUCUAUGAAACAAACUGAUUUUAUUAACUGAUGCAUUACAAGGAGAGACAACAGUUUGAUAACAAGACAUAAAAGUUGAAUGAUUAUUUUGAGCACCAGUUAUAACAGGAAAUGAAAGAUGACAAGUAGAUAGCAUAGACAAAGGCUUAUUUGAAGAAACUUGACUCAAGAAAGAAGAUGGUGAUGUCUGAGAUGACUUUAAUAGCAACUUGUAUAAUCAUUUUUCAGCAAGACCUUGCAAAAGCACCUGUCCCUUCAGUGGAUCCUUUACAUAACACACAUUGCCAACAAAUUCAAUGGAAAGGUUAUUAUCAGUUGUCAACUUAGAUACACUUAUUAAGUUCUUAGUAAUUGAAAGAACUAAUAAGAUAUCUUUAAGUGUUAUAGGUGUGUGCUGGCAGGCAGUAUGAAGGCAUUUAUAGUUAAAGCAAGCAUCACCAAUAUGAGUAAUGAUCAAACCUUGUCCAUUUCCAAUGGUAAGCUGGUCUAAACCUUUGAAUUCUUCUCGUACACGCAUGUUUGCCAUGUUAUUUGUAAUGUGAUGUGUGGCACCACUGUCCAGAUACCACCCUUCAUAUGAUGAAUCUUCCAGAUUUGCAACAUAAGCUUCAGGCAGAGUAAAUGCUUCUGAUGAAUAAGAAGAAACAGGGGAGUAAUGGACUAGUUGACAGCUAGAGUUAACACCAGACAGUUCAUAAGGAUCUUCAAUAGCUGACUGGUGAUAUGAGAAUGGCUCAAAAUUAGUCAUAUAUGCUGCUUUAGAUCCCAUAAUCUUUCAUCUACCAAAUUGUUUUGGAAAAAGAGAGUAAUUAUCACCAUAUCUAUACCAGCAAGCAUCAGCAGUAUGACCUUGUUUGUGACAUAUUUGGCACACAGGUAUUGACUCAUUAGAUUCACCAGUAGAAAUGCUUGAGCUCAUUCUAGGUAAAAAUGUAUUUCUCACAUGUGGUGACCUAGGAAGAUGUGUAAACUGUUGAUUUCUUCCAAAGCUUGCAGCAUGACCUCUGCCAAAACCACCAGCAGUACUACUACCAAUUGGAAAACCUCUAGGAUAAGAGUUAAAGAACAUGCCUCGACCAAAAUUUUGACUUCUUCCUCCAAAUUGACCAAAGAAUCCAUUACCAUAAAUAUUUCUCCUAGGAAUUCCCCUCAUAUGUGAAUAGUUUGCAUUCAUCAUACUGUGAUUAGCAUUAAACAUGGCUUGAGAAUUCUGAGAAUUCUGAUUUUGUUCCAAUCUAGCCUCAUGAGUCAACAAAAGUGCAUAUGCAUCAUCAUAAUUCAUUUUAUUUGCUAUAAUUAUUGAAGCUAAAUCCAGAUAGCCAGAUCCUAAUCCAUUAAGAGUUCUUAUUAGCAUAUCUUUUUCAGUUAUAUUAUCAUAAGCACAGACAAGCUUAUUAGCAAGUAUCUUCAUUUUUUAGCAAUAUUCUUCAAUCGACAUUGAUUCUUUUCUUAAGGUAUCUAAUUCAUAUCGAAGCUGCAUUACCUUUGCUUCAGAUUGAACUCCAAAUUGCUUUUCAAUUGAUUUCCAGACAUCAAAUGAAGUAUCAUAAUUGAGAACUGAGCUUAGAAUACCUUCACUUAUAGUUGAAAAGAGCCGGCUCAGCAGAGUCUGAUCCUGAGCUCUCCAAUUUACAUAUGUUGGAUUCUUAGUUCCCUCCACAGAUCCAUCAGUUCGAGCUUGAGACAAAUACUGUUCUGGAAUAUUUCGAUUUUCUGAGAUAAAACCUUCAAGUCUAUUUCCUCUGAUCGAAGUCAGAACUUGCUUACGCCAGAGGAGAAAAUUAGAUCGAUCAAGCUUGACGGUUGUAGCAAAAGUAAAUGAAAUUUGAUGAGAAUGAGUUUGAUGAACAAUCAAAUGAUUUUGAUUGGUUGUACUGGAACUAGCCAUUGUGGUUCUGAUACCAUAAAAGAAAACUUGAGCUGUUUGUUUUAAAGGAAAAGUUACAGAGAAAAUUUUAUUUUAUUGAAUCUGGACAAUUAUCAAAGUCAAAUACAACUUAAUCAAUCACAACUUAUAUACACACGAGUUAGUUAUACACACAAGAAUUAUUAAUAACAGACUUUAACAUCUUGUGCUGACUUGCUAUUUCAUAACUAACUCUGAUGACUUGGCACUGCUGAGCUGGCAUGAUUGACUAACUUCACUUGCUGAAACUAUCGGCUUCUUCACCUUUCUAUUCUUCAUAAGCUCAGCACAAUGAGCUUCCUUUACAUUAAUUAGUUAAAUUAUUUGCAUGCAUACAUACAAUUGAAUCACUACGAACAUCUGUCUCUUUUACACGACUGUGUUUUAUUAAACUUUUGUUACACGGUGUCAGAAAUGAUUUAAGAGGUUUUAUUUCAUUCUGUUUCAGGUUGAAGAACUUUUCUCAGUACAAAAUAAUGGAACUAAUGUAGAAGCGCGCCUGGUGAAUCAGCACCUGUACAAGGCCCUUAAGGGCUCGGAUUUCCAAAUUUUGGACAUUACCCACAUGAGUGAGUUCAGAGCCGAUGCACAUCCCUCUACAGCCGGCGGUAAGAAACACGAUGAUUGCAUGCACUGGUGCUUACCAGGAAUUACAGAUACUUAGAAUGAUUUGUUUGCAACUCUUCUGAACAAUGUUAAGGUUAGAACCUGAUGUACGAAUUAUUUAUAGUCUGAUUAUAUUCUUUUUGGUUAUUCCGAAGUUCUUUCUCACAUACAGAAAAAUAAUUAGAAAAAUAAAAGGAAAUAAAAUGCUGCUACAAUGUCCUAAAAUUACACACUGUAACAUUGAUCUAAAUAAGGAUUAGUUUAUCGAAACUUGUAUAUAUUAAUUUAGCAGUGUCAUUUAUUGUAUAAUACAGAAAAAGUGGUGUAAAGAAACUCAAUCAAGCUCGACAGUCCAUCCCAUCUUGUCCUCAAUGCGGCCAGUUUGGAUUCCUGUUAGCAUUUCAUAUAGCUUUUGCCCCACAGUCCCUGCUCCUCUUUUGUACGCAAUCCUGCAUAAUUCACCUUAGAAAAUAAAUACUGUUGUAAAGAGGUUUUGAGAGCAAAUCUCGUUCACAUAAGUGAUUUAGUAAAUAAUAAUAAUAAUAAUAACAAAAAAAUGAGGAGAUACCUGGUAACCCAAAACAUGGGUGAUUUCGAUGAUACUUUUUCGAGUGAUUCCAGGCAGAAUAGUUCCACUCGUUGGUGGAGUUAAAGUUUCAUUUCCCUGAACAAAUUAUUUCAAAACUAAGUUUUCUUUUUUUAAAAAAAAAAUCAACAUAAAGUGAAUUUAUCCAGGUGAUAACCGAUAAAGACAAAGUUAUCUUACCUUCACAAGAAAAAUAUUACUGGUAGAAACCUCCUCGAUGUAUUUUUCGGCAUUAAGGAACAAGACAUCGGUGAACCCUUUGGCCUUCGCUUCAGCAAUUGGUUUGUAAAUCUACGACGAGAAUACAUGGGAGGAUCUCAAUUUAAAUAGUGAUAGUGUUACUUAGUAAUUAAACAAAGAUUAUUUCCUGGAAACUGCAAAGUUGAAAUUUAUGCUCACUAUAGCAUAAUUGGUGACAGCCUUGACUCCUCCAGUUCCUCCAGGAAUAGCUCGACGAAAUUUUUCCUCCACAAUCAAGUUUAGUACACCCUGUUACAUAAUCCGAAAUGGCUUUCAAGUCCUUAUUCUUUGUAUUAUGUAAUCUGCUUUUUCUUUUAAUUUAUUUUCCUAAAGAAAAUGAUAAUGUAUCAAAGAUGAUCAGGCACCUUACCUUGUGAUAAUUGCCUACAGGAGAAGCAUAAGUUAUGAAGGUAUAUUCGGAGGCUGGUGCAACUCCUAGAACCGGUCCACUUCCCAUAAGCAAAGGCCUUAUAUACAUUGCUCCUUUCCCUGGUGGAGGCACCUAUAUAUAUUCAUCACAAUCCAUGCACAAACUUUUAAUCAGCAAAAUUUUAGACAGGUCACAGAAAAAUUAGAGUAUUAAUUAACUUAUACAUAAAACAUUUUUAUCAAAAUUAACAUUUACCCAUCGCUUGUUGGAGUGUACAGUUUGCUUUACUGCAUUCACAAAUUGUUCUACAGUUGGUGCCUGCAUGCACAUUCUUUUUGAACCCACUUUCAUGCGCAUGGCAUUUUGUUCUGGCCGAACAGUAGGAUGCGCCCAUUUGCUGUCCUGUGUGCCUUCAAACCUUCGAACAAACCCUAAAUUCACCCACCGUCUAUUUUAAAUAAGAAUUCAUAGUUACUGAAUACAAGGAAAUGUAUUUGUUUGCUAACCAAGAUUGUGUUAAAAUGAUGGAUGCGAAUUAAUUAUUACCUGUCCAUAGUUUAAAAUUCCAGAUGAAGGGUUCACCUCUAUCUUUCCAAAUGGAGUGAGAGUUCCUUGUGAGAAGUGUUGGUCUUUAGAACAAUUCAUUAUGUACAUAUAAUCAGUUGGAAUUAUGCCAAAUCCAAGGUUAUCCCAAUUAAUAUUUGCAGAUUUUCCAUUGACAUGGCUGCUGAAAACUAGUCAGAGAAAGAAAUUUAUUUUGAUAUGCUAACUAAAUUUGUUACUUUGAACCAUAAGUACAUGAAUAUCUUCUCCUGAUCGAAAUUUAUAAAGUCUUAUACAUUACAUACCUUGUUAUUAUUUAUGCAUUGUAAAGUAUCUUUCCUUUCACUACCAUUAUAUCCAUUGUGUUAACAACUAGCCAAUAGCUAAACUAUCUGUAAAGAGGUUGAAAAAAGCUGUUACAGAAUAAGAGUCCUUAGACCUCCCUCAAAGAUAGAAGUCUCCGAAACUAAUUAACAUUAAUAUUAAGUCAAAUCUAAUGACAUGAAAAUGAGAAGCGAAUAGUAAAUAAGAACAUUGGUUUGUAAAUCUACGACGAGAAUACAUGGGAGGAUCUCAAUUUAAAUAGUGAUAGUGUUACUUAGUAAUUAAACAAAGAUUAUUUCCUGGAAACUGCAAAGUUGAAAUUUAUGCUCACUAUAGCAUAAUUGGUGACAGCCUUGACUCCUCCAGUUCCUCCAGGAAUAGCUCGACGAAAUUUUUCCUCCACAAUCAAAUUUAGUACACCCUGUUACAUAAUCCGAAAUGGCUUUCAAGUCCUUAUUCUUUAGAUUAUGUAAUCUAUUUUUUCUUUCUAUUUCUUUUCCUAAAGAAAAUAAUAAUCUAUCAAAGAUGAUCAGGCACCUUACCUUAUGAUAAUUGCCUACAGGAGAAGCAUAAGUUAUGAAGGUGUAUUCGGAGGCUGGUGCAACUCCUAGAACCGGUCCACUUCCCAUAAGCAAAGGCCUUAUAUACAUUGCUCCUUUCCCUGGUGGAGGCACCUAUAUAUAUUCAUCACAAUCCAUGCACAAACUUUGAAUCAGCAAAAUUUUAGACAGGUCACAGAAAAAUUAGAGUAUUAAUUAACUUAUACAUAAAACAUUUUUAUCAAAAUUAACAUUUACCCAUCGCUUGUUGGAGUGUACAGUUUGCUUUACUGCAUUCACAAAUUGUUCUACAGUUGGUGCCUGCAUGCACAUUCUUUUUGAACCCACUUUCAUGCGCAUGGCAUUUUGUUCUGGCCGAACAGUAGGAUGCGCCCAUUUGCUGUCCUGUGUGCCUUCAAACCUUCGAACAAACCCUAAAUUCACCCACCGUCUAUUUUAAAUAAGAAUUCAUAGUUACUGAAUACAAGGAAAUGUAUUUGUUUGCUAACCAAGAUUGUGUUAAAAUGAUGGAUGCGAAUUAAUUAUUACCUGUCCAUAGUUUAAAAUUCCAGAUGAAGGGUUCAUCUCUAUCUUUCCAAAUGGAGUGAGAGUUCCUUGUGAGAAGUGUUGGUCUUUAGAACAAUUCAUUAUGUACAUAUAAUCAGUUGGAAUUAUGCCAAAUCCAAGGUUAUCCCAAUUAAUAUUUGCAGAUUUUCCAUUGACAUGGCUGCUGAAAACUAGUCAGAGAAAGAAAUUUAUUUUGAUAUGCUAACUAAAUUUGUUACUUUGAACCAUAAGUACAUGAAUAUCUUCUCCUGAUCGAAAUUUAUAAAGUCUUAUACAUUACAUACCUUGUUAUUAUUUAUGCAUUGUAAAGUAUCUUUCCUUUCACUACCAUUAUAUCCAUUGUGUUAACAACUAGCCAAUAGCUAAACUAUCUGUAAAGAGGUUGAAAAAAGCUGUUACAGAAUAAGAGUCCUUAGACCUCCCUCAAAGAUAGAAGUCUCCGAAACUAAUUAACAUUAAUAUUAAGUCAAAUCUAAUGACAUGAAAAUGAGAAGCGAAUAGUAAAUAAGAACAUAACUUAAGAGGAUGUUACUAAUAAUAUGCCUAUAAGAAAUUAAAGUCUUAGAGAAUGGGAAGGUCUGGCCAAUAAAAUAAUGCCAUGUACUUUAAUUUCUUUUUCUUUUCAUUUUAUAAUUGAAUAAAUAUUAAGUGUAGGUGUCAAAAAUUUUAAUAAACGAGGUACUCUGUCCGUUCCAUACUUCCAUUUAAGGAUUUCUUAACAAUUUCAUGAAGUGGUGGUGGUCUUGUUGCUGUAACUUAGAAUUUUUAAACUUUUAAAUGUGAGUGUAACGUAACUUCUGAAGGACGCUGAAACUUUAAAUGUGCUAAUUUUGACUUCUGAACGGCACUCAGAAACAUUUAGAAAGUCGGUGGGUGGGGCAGCUGACAAAAGUAAUCGUGAGGGUAAUAAAUAAUACAUGAAGAAGACAGAGCAGCCAUGAUUAAUUGCUACGAUAAACUUCUUUCUGUUAUUUAAUACCUAUUAACACUUGGUUCAUUGUAACCUUCCACUUCCGCUCCCGCCGUUCUACAAUAUUGAUCUCGUCUGUUUAAAUAAAAAAUAAAUAAAUAAAUAAUGUUAGGCCCCUGAUUUAGGAAAAUAUCUAAUAACAUAAACAGAAAUAUUUUCACCUUAAUACCCACUGAUACAAUUAAAAAAAACAAAAGAGAUAAACCACAGUAGUUGUAUUAAUUGCUAAUGUUAUUAUCCCAUUCAAGAUUGAGUAAAAAUGUUAAUCAAAAGGGGAGAUUGCUGCUUUUCAAGGGGAUAUUAUAAAACCUAUGGGUGUAAGUGGUAAAAUCUCCCAACUUGGAGGGUAGAGAUAAUUUUCUAAAUAAAACUAAAAGAGUUUCAAAAUAAAGUUUUAUGGUGCUUUUGAGAGCGAGGGAAUAACUUUUAAGGUGCAGUUGUCCUGGAGUAAAAGAUAUAGUUAUGGAGUAGAAAUGAGAAAAAAGAGCUGCUAAGCUAACAAAACCCAGCUUUAAGGUGUUACGAAACACCUUGACGGCUGAGGUUUGGCAGCCCAACCACCACACAUCACUCCUAUACGCACUCUUAAUUAGUUUGGUAAACAUGACGUAGCUGGCCAAUUAAUCUUGCAUGUCAGUGAGCAUCAAUGGGAUUGUCUGCACCAGCUGCCAUAAAAUAUAUGAAAGGAAAAGAGAUAAAAAGUAAUGGAGUCUAGUAGCAGAAAUAAUCAAUUGGGAAGCGAAAAACAAUUUUGAUAUUGAACCCACAAAAAAAUUAUUUUGACAUUCUGUUCCUUCUUUAAAAUGAACAGAUAAGGAUGAAAACCAAAGUCGGAAAAUUUAUCUACAGGGUGAGAGAGAGGGGGGAAAAUAAAAUAAAAGACAAAUGAUGAGAGCUGUUAUUCAUAAUCAUAUAUCUUAAUAUGAUGAAAAGGUUUUUUGUUUUUGUUUUAUUUUUGGUUUGACUGAAACUCAAAGCUUGAGAUUUAUUAUAUAUAUAUGUAUGUAUGUAUGUUAUCAUUUGAGUAUUGAAAAAAGAAGUCUCAAAAAAAGAAAAAGGAUCAUGAAGUCGGAGAAACAAAUACAAAAAGAAGAUGGAUGAAUUUCCUGGAGAAAAUAAUUGCUUAUUACCAACAAUAUAUGUACCCAAAAAAGAGAUUAUAAUUCAUAUCUUGUGCCCUACUUCUUUCUCAAUAUUAGAGUGAUCAUGAAGAAGAGAUAUAAAUUUGAGAUUACUGACACACCUUAGACAGAAUCGAUCCUGCUAUUCUUGAUGGUAUGCUCCAUUUUCUGAAAUAAUCACUUACUUUUAACAUGUUUGUUCGUUUCGUGAGAAAAUUAGAGAGAGCAGAGUAUCAAAUCACAACACACAAAACUCUGUCUAUAUGUGUAGAAGUUGCAUGCAAGCCGCUGGGUUCUGUGAGCACUUUGAAGGGUUGGUUUGUCAAAAUCAGAUGAGCAUUUUCAAAUAUAUAUUAAAGCAUUCACUCAUGCCAAACUAUUAGAAUGGCACUUCUAUUCAAGUUAAAAUUUGUUUUACCAUUUGAGUCUCUGAUAAGUUUUUAAUAACUUAUUUACUUUUGGUAUUAAAACAACAAGAGAGAAAAUAAUUAAUUUAUUUAUUAAGAAGUCCUAUUUACCUUUCAAUAAUGUAUUUCUUAUAUUGGAACCAGUCAAAAAGACCAAUCUACAAAUGACAAAGGGUGUUAAAGGGAUAGUCACACAUCCAGCAAAGCAACACUUAACCUUGCUCGAUGUCAAACAAUUUGAGAUACAAAGUAUGUUAAGUUUAUUUUACGGAAGUUACUCCGAAAAUAAUCGUUCAUCUUUCCUUGGAAACUAAAUACGCAGAAGACGACGAAGACUAAGACUUUCGAGAGUUACCCAGACGGACUAUUAAUCAAAAUUCGCGUACAGAUCACGAAACACGAUCUGGGCCAAAGAUUUUAAUACAUAAACUGCUGUUUUUGCGUGUAAUGUAGGCCAUACGUCGUGAAAAAUCAUACCGUGUGUAACAUGGCAUGUCAUGAAAAGUACGAUGAUUUAUUAAUUCCUUGUAAUUGAACGAACUGAAUAUUAGCUAGGUUUAUGUUCAAGACUUCAUCUGCACAAUUUUGUAAUGACGUUUGUAGGAAAGAAUAUAAUGCCAUCAUAGGACGGUGUGAAUUUGGGCUUUAAUUUAAGGCAAAUGCUAAGUUACAAUAAUUGUAACAUACAUUCCUUAUGUGAACCACACAAAUUGUGGGCCCUAUAAUUUUGUGUGGUUCACAUGAGGAAUGUAUGUUACAAUUAUUGUAACUUAGAGGCUCCCUUAAUUUAAGCGUUGUGAUUGUUGAAGCAGUAAUAUUAAGACAGACAAAUUUAGUAGAACAUUGAUAGAAAUAGUGAUAAAUAGUUAUCAAUUUACUAACUUAAUUAAAAACUAAAAUAAAUAAAUGCCGGUUUAUUAUUGUUUUUAUACGCGCUCUGUCAAUGUUCUACUUUAACAUUUUUCUUGUCAAUGCCUACAAAAAAAGUAGGGGAAAAAAAGAAUGCUUUGAUGUUGCAAUUCCAAUGUAACUCUUAAUAUCAGAAGCUGGAUCAUUUUUAAAAGUCAUUUUACUGACUUGACUCGACUUCAUGGUUUUCCAAUUUAUAAAUUGAUGAUAACUACAAUUAUUAUCAUUAUUAUUAUUAUUUUUUACGGAUUACAAUCAAAGUCAUUGAUUUAUAAAAUAAAAUAUCUACUAGACCAGUGAUCAUUUUUGUUAUAUUACAACCAAAAGUUUCAACUUAUAUUAAGGUCUUCUUUGCGAUUGAAGUUGGACAGUUAUAACUUAAAAUCUGCAGCACUGAAGUAUUUGGUAAAUAUUAACUGCUAUAAAUUGAAAGUUGUCUUAAAAAUUUUGUCAAAAUUAUUAUUAAAAAAUUAUACUUACUACAUACUAUUAACUUUUGUUUCAUAAUUACAAUCUUUUUUGUACAUCAACUGAAUCUUUUAAGUUACAAUACUUCAAUUUCAAAUAAGAUCUAAGAUAUGUAUCUCUACUAAUAUUAAUUUAAAUGUCGAUUUAUAAGGAAUAUAUAUCCUAUACAUAUAUGAGAAAGUUGAUUUACUCCCACCCAAUUAUGGGAGGAGAGUAGGAGCUGUUAUUGUACUUUUUUUGUAAAUUUUUUUUAAAAAAUUUGCUUUUAAAGUGUUAUGGACCGAAAUUGAAUCUCUUCGAUUUUCACGGAUAUGAAUGGGCUCAAACCCUAAACCUUUUGUUCUAUCACAAAAGAUAUUAAUGCUGAACAACUUGCAAGCGAGAAUAUUUAUCCUACUUUCUUUCACUUGUUAACCCUAUAAAUAGCCAUCGAAACUUCUUAAAUCUUCAUCAGUUACCAAAGAUACAUUUCCCUUUGUAGUAGAAAGAAUUCCAAACCAAAUGGCCUUCAGUAAGGAUAUCCCGUCACUAGUGCUUUUCUGUCUCAUGGGGUUAGCCCUAGCUCUGCCUUCCCGUGCACAAGACUUUCCACAAGACUAUGUCAAUGCUCACAACGCAGCUAGAGCACAGGUUGGCGUUAACCCUGUGAAAUGGGACGAGAGCAUAGCUGCCUUUGCAAGAAGCUAUGCUAGUCAACAAAUUGCCAGCUGCAAUCUUGUCCAUUAAGGGACAGGCGUUACGGCGAGAACCUUGCCGGGAGCUCGGGUAACCUUUCAGGCGCAGAUGUUGUCGGAUUGUGGGUGAGUGAAAAGGCUGACUACGAUUACAAUUCUAAUAGUUGCAACGCAGGCAAGGUGUGUGGGCACUAUACGCAUGUGGUUUGGAGGAACUCUGUUCGCAUUGGGUGUGCAAAAUUUAGAUGCAACUAUGGAGGAACUUCCAUUGGCUGCAACUAUGCUUCCCCAGGCAACGUUGUGGGGGUGAAGCCUUACUAAUUAAUUUAAUUAGUAUACUUUUCAGCUCGAGAAAGGCAUUUAAAUAAGAGUUUAUUUUGAUGAAUAAAGCUUCUUCUGUUGUUUGUAUUGGUGGAUAAAAAAUAAUUACAAUUAUAUUAUGAAUAAGUCUGGAAUUAUGCUUUGCAUAAUGCUAUUUUUGCUAGGGAUUCAUGUACCACGACCACUUUGCGAACUAAGAACUGACGACUCUAUGUGUGUGUUUCUUCUAUGAAUAUAGGGCUUCAUUAAUUUGUUAUCUAAUUAGUUCUAUUCUACGGCUGUUGCUUGUUGAACAAAAUAGUCUGGCAAAAGUUAAAUUGUAAUUAUGCUUAAAAUUUAUUUUAAUUAUUUCUCUAAUCACAUAAAAGUGUACGUCUGGCAAACGUUAGAUUGUAAUUAUGCUUAAAAUUUAUGUUAAUUAAUUCUCUAAUCACAUAAAAGUAUCAUCCCGGUAUUUGUCUGAUGAGUUAACAAAUACAAGUCCAAAAUAAGUUCUAAGGUGCAAAAUUAAUAUCUAUCGUGACUGGUAAUUAAGAUUUUUUGUUUUUGUUUAUAUUAAGUAAUACUAAUCACAUCCAUAAUUUUGUUAAAAGAAGAGAUAUGUUUAAGUUUAAAUUUUGGAUGAGGAAUGUUUUCUAAUCUAAACUUUUAUAUGAGUAAAUACACUUAUAUGAUCGAUAGUUAACAAAUAAGAAUAUAAUAAUUACAUAAAUUUUGAUUAUACACGAACACAAUUAUAUGUGUCAAAAAAAAAUUUCAAAGAUUUUAAAUUUGAGGAUUUUGCCAAAAUCCACAUUCGAUGAUGCUCUCUUCUUUGGCAUCUUUACAGCUUUAUUUAUAUGGUCAAUGGUAAUUGUUUCGGCAUCUUUAUUUUUUCUUAUUAUUAUUUUUUAUUCUGGUUAUCUCAUUGGCAUCUCUAAAAUAUGGCUAUAGCUGCACUCUAUUUAAUUAGCUCAAAACAAUCAAUAUGUAGGUUUAGAUUCUCUCCAACUUCAUGGAACAUGAUUUUUAUUUAAUGGUGAAUGACACUUAUAUCUCUCAUAAAAACGGUUUUUAGCACUUAGCUAGAUCUCUUAUAAAUUUUUGAUAGAUCAAUUUAUUUCUUAUGUUAUUAAAACAUUUAAAAGAAAAAAAUAAAUUGUUAAAAGGUACAUGCUUUUCACCUGAAUUUUACAUCAAUAUGGAUUAAUUUAUUAGCCAACAAAAAGAUCAUAUAUUGAAUUAAAUAAAGAUAAGUAGACGGACAAUAGUGCAUCCUUUUGGUUAAUCAAGCAAAGACUAACGACACAUGCAAGUGCCUUGACCAAAGACAUUAUUACAAUAGCAGAUUUAAUGUCAUUAAUUUUGAGAAUGACAUUGCGACAUAUACUAAUUUAUUGUUUAGACUUUUAAUUUGCAGAAACGGAGUAGAUCUUAAUUAACUUAAUCAGCUUAGUAAGGUUUCUGCCCAAUAUAAUUGCCCGGAGGAUCAUAGUUGCAAGUGACAAACCACCGGCCAUUGCAAUUAUGCAAAGUGCCAAAUAAUAAAAGUGUUUUUGUAUAGACUAUUUUUCUUUUAACUUAAUGCAAGAAUUAUUUUAUUCUUAUAAUUUUUUUCUUCAUAUUACUAUUUGAAAAGUAUUAUUUUUUGAAAAAUAUUAAUCGUAAUCAUUAUUGUAGCCAUCAUGUUGGAUGAGUGCUAAUGACGGUGAAUGAAAUGUAGAUCUUCUCUUGAACCGUGUGUUGAACAAUAAUAUGAAGUGUUAUUGUUAUUUUUAGAUACUAGUUUGUGGUUUUUUUAAAUACAUUUGUGUAUUUUAUACUUAAAUUUGAGAAUUUAUGUUGGAUUGAUGUUGAAAUUUUAAUUUUUCAUUUACAUUGGUUAAAUUUAAAAUUGAAUAUGUCAUGUGGAAUUUGAGGUUAUUAUUGUAAAUUUAUAUAUUGAAUAUUUUUUAUUUUAAAUGUAUAAACCCGUAAAAAAAUCCGCCGGAUACCAUUGCAGGUUUGGUAAUUGUCAAAACUCGCAGCAGGUUAAUUUUCUUAAAAAAAUUAAAACCCACUGCGGGUUGCGGGUGGGUUUAAUAAUUAAAAUUUUGUGCAGAUUUGAGUUUGAUAAUUUAAAUUUUGUGUGAAUUUGAAUUUAGUAAUGACAAACCCGCUGCAGGCGGUGCCAUCCCUACGUAUAGCGUGCCAAACGCAGUUUGUUUUAGCUGCUCGGCUGCAGCUUUUGUUGGCCUUUACCAUUGUAUUGGGCUGGGCUUGGCCCAUUCGGCAUGCCCAUUUUCGAAAGUUUUUGUUCGUCGCAUCACAUCAUAAAUUAUUAAAUACCAUAACAAAAGCCAGAUGAAAGAAAUUGCUAAAAUCAAUCCAACAUAAUUAUGUGUCGUGGAUAUUGGAGCAGAACAAUACUGCAUUUGGAUACGAUUCCAUUAAAGGUUUUAUUUUGAAAUAAAAAUAAAAAUUAAAAGAAAAAGAAAAAGAAAAAGAAAAAGAAGGAAAAUUAAGAAUGAAUUUUCUUUGUUCUAGUUGUGAAUAAAGUUAUAUAGAUAAUUGAUUAUUGUCUGAGGUGAAUCUGCUGCGUUUGGUAUUUGCAAAUUUAAAGUAGAUUUUGGAGCAGCUAGUUAAUUAACUUGUGUUUUGUACAAGAUGCGCCUAGUUUAUUUUGUAAUUGCAUAUAAUUUAUCAGUGAUCUGUUAAAAAUGGGUGGGUAAAGUUAAAAGCAUUCUUGUUGAGAUCCAAGUCAACUUAACUGUUAAUAUUUUUUUCCAUUUAUAAGAUGAGGAUGCCAUCCUAGGAAUGAUUUGGUGUGUCGCGCAAUAGAUGAAUUAAUUUGGCGUGGACCAGUUAAUUAGGAUCAUUUUAUUUGUAAUCUGGAUAUUAUUUUAUAUUCUUAAGAAUAAAUUGAGGCGCAAAAAAUUUCAAAAGAACAUGUUAACAAUUUUGGUACAAUGUAAGCAUGAUUAAAGUUACACGCCAUCAAUAUUUUGACCAACGUUAGGUUUGUUAAUCGCCAACGUAACGUCAAAUGUGGCCCCAAAUGUCGUUAACAUGUAGAUCCGUGAAAUGCUGCGUCUCAAUCCCUUUGGCUAUAUAUACAUUCAUGAUUCAUAUUAUUUAUUAUUCUAGUCUUUUCCUAUAUAUAAAGAGAUGAUAAAUAGACCAAAUUCAUUGUUAGUAGAACAAUCGGCCGAUCCUGUCAAUUUAAAGGGAAUCUAGGAGUAUUGAGUAUAUAUCCUGCGAAAUUGGAAUGUAAUAUAUAUUAUCUAACAAGUUAAAUUAAUGAUAAAUUCUCCCAAUUAUAUUUUUCUGAGUAACCCUUCUAUAGUUUUUACCAAAUCCAGUAACCUUUUAAGGGCAAAACCAUAAACAAAAAAGAGUGGACGUUUUGCUAUUUAUAUUUGUAUUUUUUAUAAAAUAUCAUUAUCGCUACAUCUGGUAGCAUUGUCAUAUGUUAUAAUUAUUUUUUAAGUUAAGAAUACCCAAAAUCUAAUCACAAGAAAACUGUUCUUUCUCGUGUUAACUCUUAUUGACAAUAGAAUAAGGUAUUUAUAAAAGCCAUGCAGAAUCAACAAAUUCUGACGACGACAUUGAUUUUGGCUCACUCUGGUAGCGGCAAUUUGUACAGAGUCACACAAAAACAUACGCAAUCCUUAUAUUAGGCAUGUGAAUCGUUAUAUUUAUUCCUAUAAUUACUUACAAAAUCAAUUAGUCUCUUCUUUCCAGUUGUAGAUAAUAAAAUUAAAUAACUUACUUGUAAUAAUAAUAAAAGCUAUCUCGCACAAUCAUAGCCUUAAAUUUUGUCAAGCUUUUCUCUUUAUAUAUGCCCUCAACGAUAUUACGAACUCAAUCAAGAAAGUUCACAUAGCGUAGUGAAGUUAAAAUGUUGCUCAACAAAUUCAUUUUAGCCAUCUUCUUCAUUUCUCUAACCCUACCUCACAUCAUCCACGCACAAAGCUCCCACCAAGACAUCGUUAAUGCACACAAUGCAGCUCGUGCGGAGGUCGGCGUCGAUCCGAUGACUUGGAAUGACACCGUUGCAGCCUAUGCACAAGACUAUGCCAACCAAAGAAUGGGUGACUGUAACUUGGAACAUUCAAUGGGGCCUUAUGGAGAGAACCUGGCUGAGGGUUAUGGGAAACUUGAUGGAGUUGAUGCCGUAAAAUUUUGGCUUACUGAGAAGCCUAACUAUGAUCAUGCUUCAAAUUCGUGUGUUGGUGAUGAGUGUUUGCAUUACACUCAAAUCGUUUGGCGCAAAUCUGUGAGUGUUGGCUGUGGUAGAGUCAAGUGCAAAAAUGAUUGGUGGUUUGUUAUUUGUAAUUAUUAUCCUCCGGGGAAUAUCGAAGGUGAAAGACCUUAUUGAAUAAUUUUACUUAGUAGUGCAAUGAAAAAUUACUGUUGUUGGGUUUGUUCGAUUUAAGAUGAAAAAGAAUUUGAAUGUGUUGUUGUGGCCUUAUCACUCAAAAGUUUAAAUUUAAAAUUUUGUAAGUUAAUAGAUUUUGUGACUGAACUUGUAAAAGCUUAAAAACGAUGUUAAUAGAUUUUGUGACUCAACUUUUAAAAACUCAACAAGAAAAAUUGGCAAUCUCCUGAUUUAAAAUUACUCAUAACUAAACUAUUUAUUCUAAUUGAUGUAAAUUUCUAAUGAGAUGUGAUCAGAUUUGCUAUUUAUUAUUUUAAAAUUUCCCUCAGGCCAUAAACAGUUUAACCAAAAUAUGAAAAUUUGAGUAAUUCUUCACUCUUACGUUUUUGUUUCUAGAGUAUAUUUCAGAAUUGAACUUUUCAACACCUAAGAUGGCUCCAUUUAUUGGGGUAUCCUCACAUUUUCAACGCAAUGAAAGUGCACAUUUACUAAUAACGCAGCCAGCACCCGGCAGCCUAUCUAUCUUCUAACAAACAAAUUUUCAUAAAAAAUUUGGUAUAUAUCGGUUGCAAAAUCUUUGGACUCAUCAAUAACAAAUUAAUAUGACCAAUUCUUUCGAUAAAAAAUUAAAAAUUAAUUAAUCAGACAAAUCUAAACGGUAUAAGAACAACACUGUCGUCCAAGCUCAAAAUUUCCAACAUGCGAUUUUUAUUUUUUUAACAAAGCAUUAUUAGAAAUUAAACUUAAUUACACCCUACCCUUUUUCAAUAUGUGAUUUUUUUUUUAAUUUUUAUAAAGCAUUAUUAGAAAUUAAACUUAAUUACACCCUACCCUUUUUCAAUAUGUGAUUUUUUUUUUAAUUUUUAUAAAGCAUUAUUAGAAAUUAAACUUAAUUACACCCUACCCUUUUUCAAUAUGUGAUUUUUUUUUUAAUUUUUAUAAAGCAUUAUUAGAAAUUAAACUUAAUUACACCCUACCCUUUUUCAAUAUGUGAUUUUUUUUUUAAUUUUUAUAAAGCAUUAUUAGAAAUUAAACUUAAUUACACCCUACCCUUUUUCAAUAUGUGAUUUUUUUUUUAAUUUUUAUAAAGCAUUAUUAAAAUUAAACUUACUCCCUACCCUAGUUAUAUAAACAGGAUUCGAACUUCAAACUUUUUGUACCACUCAAAAAAGUGACAAGCGACAGCCCAUAAUUUUGUGACUUUCAGUGACUAUUUGGUUGAUUAAAUAAAUAAAUGAUCAUUUUUCCUCUAACUUUCUCAAGAACUAAUUACUAAAUGUGAAACGUAAAAUAAUGGAGAAAGACAAAACUACAAACUUUAUUUUACCGAAGGUACGGGCGGAUAAAAUCACAUUUGUUAUAAAAGCAAUACUUUAUUUGUAAGCAAAAUUCAGGCGGAUUAAACGGGAAUCCAAAUGCACUUUCAUCCUGAUAUAUUAUGAAAUCAAAUUUUGAUAUAUGUUACUCUAUUCACACUUUCGAUAAGUAAUUCAUCACAGGGAGUGUUCAAAACUUCAAAUAAUAAUAAUAAUAAAAAAAAAAUUAUUAAUUUGUGAGGACUGAUUUAAUAAAGAGUAAUGAUAGACAUCCUAAAUUUUUUUUUAUCUCAAAUGAUAUGUUAUUCAUUAAUUCGUUGGUAAUCUUUUAUAAGAUUUAAGUAAAUUAAUUGUAUUAUGCUCAUCAAUCAAUUGAUGAAUAAAAAAAAUUUAAGAUAUGCAGCCCUACUCUUUAAUAAAUUAGGAUACGGAAUUGAGCUGCUUUUUUCCCUUUUUUUUUUUUGUUGAACACUUAUAUGGAUAGUUCAAGAUUCGUUUUUCAAUUCUGUUGAACACUUAUAUGGAUAGUUCAAGAUUUUGUUGAACACUUAUAUGGAUAGUUCAAGAUUCGUUUUUCAAUUCUCUUGUCUUAUAACCGUUAAUGGUACUCAAUAAAAAAAUCAAAUUAGCACUUAAUCUUUGUCCUUGAUUAACAUAUCCAAAUUCACUAAAGCAAUAGCCUCUCUCUAGGUUCAAAAUUUUACGGUCGAUGGAAAAUGGAUGGCGUCAAUUUUGAUUUUGACCAACUCCUAGUUCUUUUAACCAUGGAUAAUAAUAGUCAAUUCUUCAUCUUUAUCAAAACAAAGUUUUUAGUUAGUCAAAUUGGACAUCGACAUCGUCUAUUUACUUUUCUACUUGAAAUCCUGAAUUUAUGCUCAAUUUGUCCCAUAAUUAGCGCUACACAUUAAUUGACAAUAUUCCAACUUUCUAGAUGAAUAUAUUUUCAUUGAAUAAAUAUAAAUCCCCUAGUGACGACUUCGUCUACAGAAAUUAAGUUUUUCACAUAUGUAAUCAUGGAAAUAAUUUUUCUUAUGGAGAUGUGGGUAGGGGUUCGAAUCCCCAUAUAUUUUUGGGGAAAAAAAAAUCAUAUUUCAGUUAUUCAUUUGGGAUAGUUUCAGCAUUUUGAGCUAGACAUCCAUCUUGCACCAUAACAAAACUAUUUAAACAAGGUCUUAAUUGUGAUGUAAAAAUAAUAAAUUGUAAUAUGAUAUACAUUAAAAUAAAAUACAGGUGAUCCAUUGUUACUAAUGAAUUCUAAGUCAACUUUAAAUAAGGCCAUUUUUGCAUCGUACAUAUGAGAAACAUGGUCAAAGGAAUUGUUAAUUUGUAAUAAUUAAACACCGCAAUUACUGUUGAAUGUGGCAUGAAUCAUGGAAGGGAGAAGGAGACUGGGAUCAUGAAUCUUUGUAUUUGGUUUUCAAAAAGAGACAGUAGGUAUGAAACAGGAAUAAUGUGAUACAAAUCCUGACAUGAAAAGUAAAAAAGAGUUAAAUUGUUUCUUUCUUUUUUUUUGAAAAGAAAAAGAGUUAAAUUGUUAAUAAUGGAUAUGUUCAGGCCUUGUCGUUCAAAGGAAGGGAAGAAAGUCUUGGAUGAAAAGGAUGUGCCACUUUAUUCAUUUAAACUAUUUUCUUUUGAUAUAAAUUUGCUAAUUGUGGCUAUAAUUAUAGUAAUUGAGAAAGAAUAUUUUAAAUAUAUGACAUCGUUUUUAUUGUGUCAGCAUAUUUUGCAAUAUAUUAGUCUCAGGAAAUUAAAACAAAUAAAGAUGAAUUAAGAGAACUUGUGUAUAUUAUUAUUUCAAAUAACAUCUAAUGGGUCAUUGGUUGUCCUUCUUUUAAUUAGUAUUUAAUAGAAAAGUUUUCUAUCGUGGUAGCCUAUCAUAUAGAAUUUGGCAGUAGAAUCAAAAAAUUGUUUGAAAUAAAAAUCUUCUUGAAUAAUUAUGAUCCUCUGAGAUUUUAUGAGCCUUUUAAAACUCUUAUGCCAUGUAAAGGUAUAUGUUUUCAUAUUUUAUUUUUCUUAUACAUAUUAUCUUAACCAUUGAGUGGAUCCAUGACCUUAAGUUUCGAAAUUAAUGGAUCAAGGAAAAGUAGUUAAACAAUUUAAUGAGGAGGAUUAAAUAUUAUGUUAUCUUAAGAAACCAAAUUCUAAUGAUUAAUUCUUUUCCCAUUUCAUGUCGUUAGCUAUAGUAAUCUAUAAGUCACGACUUCCUAACAAUGAAAUAAAACGUGGAAAUUGAUUUUGAUUGGAUCAGAAGAGUAAGCUACAAAUCAACUGUAUCUUAUUAGAAAUAUAGCUGAAGGUGACGACAAUAGUGUAAUUUUCUUUUAUUUGUAAUAGAUUUUUUUCAUUCUCAAGUUCCCUAAACCACUACGCAAUCUUGUUUUUGAACAUUCUUCUUAAUUUGCCUAAUUUUUUUUCCAACCCUUAUCUCUAUAAAUACCAGUCCUACCAUCCCAUUUUUUCAUCAAUCAUCUUGCAAAAUCUUUAAUCACAAAAUUUGCAAAACAAAAAGACAAAUGGGGUUUUCCAAGAAUUCAUCACUACCUCUUUUUUGUAUCUUGGGGUUAGCCCUAAUUCUCUCUUCCCAUGCACAAGACUCACCCCAAGACUAUGUCAAUGCUCACAACGCAGCUAGGGCACAGGUUGGUGUUGGCCCUGUGACAUGGGACGACAGAGUAGCUUCCUAUGCACAAAACUAUGCCAAUCAACGUAAAGGCGACUGCAAUCUUGUGCAUUCGGGAGGACCGUAUGGCGAGAACCUUGCAUGGAGCAGUGCUGGUCUUUCCGGCACAGAUGCUGUGAAACUGUGGGUGAAUGAGAAAGCUGAUUAUCACUACAAUUCUAAUACUUGUGCUGCAGGCAAGGUGUGUGGGCACUAUACUCAGGUGGUUUGGCGCAAAUCGGUUCGCAUUGGGUGUGCCAAGGUGACGUGCAACAAUAAUAAAGGAACUUUCAUAGGAUGCAACUAUGACCCCCCAGGCAACUUUGUUGGGGAGAAACCUUACUGAAUAUUAUAGAUAAAAAUAAAGCUUUGUAUGAUUAAGUGGCUUGCAACAAAUGCAUGGAUGAAUAAGGUUUCAAUUUGAUGGUUAUUAACUGACGAAUUUGAAUAACCAAAAAUAAAUGACAAUGAUUAAAUUUUAUGUUAAUUUUUGGAUACUUCCUAGGAUAUCACAUUUGAUAUAAUUUCCUUAUUUCAGCAUUUUCUUAAUUUUUGUUGGAUCUUUAAUUAGAUCAAAUGUUGUCUUGAAAAAACUUUUGUCAUUGAGGUGCUGUAAUUUUAAACUACAGUUGCUAUAGAA
rnacentral:lncRNA from 1 species